AAACAGGUUCGGCCACUAUAACAGACCAAGGGGAAUAUCCAGGACCUUUGUCUGGAGUGCCGGCAACAAUGACUUUACAGUGUGGGCCAUGCCCACCACCCACACCAGCACCGGUUGUGAACACGCCAGCCCCAGCGACGACCACCACCAA
rnacentral:sRNA from 1 species